ACUAAUUAAACGGCCGCGGUAUCCUAACCGUGCAAAGGUAGCAUAAUCACUUGUCUCUUAAUUAGAGACUAGCAUGAACGGCUAAAUGAGGGCCUAACUGUCUCCCGUGAACAAUCAAUGAAACUGAUCUUUCAGUACAAAAGCUGAAAUACACCCAUAAGACGAGAAGACCCUGUGGAGCUUUUAACUUACUUGCUAAACAAAAACCUACUAGUCAACCUGCCUACCUAACCACAUUCAAUAGCAACAAGCUUCAGUUGGGGCAACUUUGGAAAAAAAAAGAACUUUCAAACAACAGAACUUUAUGUUCAACCCAGACCUACACGUCUACGUAGUAAUUUUUUGACCCAGUCAUACUGAUCAACGAACCAAGUUACCCCAGGGAUAACAGCGCAAUCCUCUUUAAGAGUCCCUAUCGCUAAGAGGGUUUACGACCUCGAUGUUGGAUCAGGACACCCAAGUGGUGCAGCAGCUACUAAAGGUUCGUUUGUUCAACGAUU
rnacentral:rRNA from 1 species